UACGAAGGGUGCAAGCGUUACUCGGAAUUACUGGGCGUAAAGCGUGCGUAGGUGGUUCGUUAAGUCUGAUGUGAAAGUCAAGGGCUCAACCCUUGAAAGCCGGUUGAUACUGUCGGGCUAGAGUCCGGAAGAGGCGAGUGGAAUUCCUGGUGUAGCGGUGAAAUGCGCAGAUAUCAGGAGGAACACCGGUGGCGAAGGCGGGUCUCUGGGCCGAUACUGACGCUGAGGAGCGAAAGCGUGGGGAGCGAACAGG
rnacentral:rRNA from 1 species